UGGGGAAUAUUGCACAAUGGGCGAAAGCCUGAUGCAGCAACGCCGCGUGAGGGAUGACGGCCUUCGGGUUGUAAACCUCUUUUAGUAGGGAAGAAGCGAAAGUGACGGUACCUGCAGAAAAAGCACCGGCUAACUACGUGCCAGCAGCCGCGGUAAUACGUAGGGUGCAAGCGUUGUCCGGAAUUAUUGGGCGUAAAGAGCUCGUAGGCGGUUUGUCGCGUCUGCUGUGAAAUCCCGAGGCUCAACCUCGGGUCUGCAGUGGGUACGGGCAGACUAGAGUGUGGUAGGGGAGAUUGGAAUUCCUGGUGUAGCGGUGGAAUGCGCAGAUAUCAGGAGGAACACCGAUGGCGAAGGCAGAUCUCUGGGCCAUUACUGACGCUGAGGAGCGAAAGCAUGGGGAGCGAACA
rnacentral:rRNA from 1 species